rnacentral:snRNA from 1 species
GGAUGUGAGGGCGAUCUGGCUGUGACAUCUGUCACCCCACUGAUCGCCAGGGUUGAUUCGGCUGAUCUGGCUGGCUAGGCAGGUGUCCCCUUCCUCCCUCACCGCUCCAUGUGCGUCCCUCCCGAAGCUGCGUGCUCAGUCGAAGAGGACGACCUUCCCCGAUAGAGGAGGACCGUUCUUUGGUCAAGGGUAUACGAGUAGCUGCGCUCCCCUUCUAGAACCUCCAAACAAGCUCUCAAGAAAUAAGACCACUGAGGCUGGAGGUGAGAAAACAAGACAUUUUUGGCAAAUGUAGUAAGUGGCAAGAUCAUGUGAGGCCACAGUUC